UACGAGGGGGGCAAGCGUUGUUCGGAAUUAUUGGGCGUAAAGGGUGCGUAGGCGGUCUGAUAAGUCAUCUGUGAAAUCUAUGGGCUCAACCCAUAGUCUGCAGGCGAAACUGUCGGGCUUGAGUAUGGGAGAGGUGAGUGGAAUUUCCGGUGUAGCGGUGAAAUGCGUAGAUAUCGGAAGGAACACCUGUGGCGAAAGCGGCUCACUGGACCAUUACUGACGCUGAUGCACGAAAGCUAGGGGAGCAAACAGG
rnacentral:rRNA from 1 species